rnacentral:lncRNA from 1 species
GGGAGCUGGGGCUGGGAUUUGCCUUGUCUCAGGGGCAGCAAUGAUGUAUUUUAUUACAGUUGCGACUCUGAGGUCCCGUCAGGCAUCUGGCAGCCUCAGCACCCAGGGAGACCAGACAAGCUGAAUAAAUCUUCACACAAUGGCAGGGAGCAGCCGGAGGAAGUCAACGGCGAGGCCGUUCAAGGCAGCACGCAGCCCUUUGGAGGUGGCAGACCUGCCACUGGAGAAGGGUUCUGCACCUCGUGUUGUCACUGAGGUUUAGAGGCAUUAGCUAAUGGAGUUCUACCCAACAUAAGAGAUAAAAAGUAAAAAAGAAAGCCAGCAAUCAAACCUAGAGAAGGGCACUUGCCCGGCCAUCAAAAAUAAUAACACUCAUAUCUACUCUCCACAAAAAUUCUGGACACUUCCACCAAGUCAACACUCUAGCUGCUGGCAAAAUAGAUUGAGAGAGAGAGACUGCACAGCCAGAGACUGAAAGCAGACGGACAAGCCCUCCUUCCCCGGGCCCUCCCGGUGACCCUGAACGCCACCUUCCAAAGCUGAGGGGGGACCUGAGCUCGUGCCCCUCCAUCCCUGCCCUACUGUGCAAGCCAUGGGUCUGGGCGGGGCUGGCCGUGUGGCUGGCUUUUCCAGGUGUGCCUGUCCAAGGCAUUUGAGGAAUUUCUGAAUAUAUAAAAAUCCACAGAGAAGGAUAGAUUAUUGAGGAAAGGGCAUAUCCUAAAUCAAAUCAACCUUUUCGGAGAAAAUAGAAGUCUGGGCCAAAAGGAGGACAGAGAGACUAAUGGACAGAAAAUAGGAUCCAUUUAAGGCCCAAUGGUCUCUAAAGUUGAGGGCUCCUGAAGUGCCCUGUGUUUCAGGCCCACCACCCGUGACCACAUGGGAAGGGCGUGCAGCAGAUUUGGUAAUAAUUCAGCUUUAUCCAGAUGGAAGGGUGGAUAUCUACUAACCGAAUUACCAACAGAUGCUACAUAAAAUCCAUCUGGCCAAGGGAAACAUGAAGCUUUGCUGUUCUUCAGAGAAAAGUUCUUUUGUAAAGAAAGUGAAUCCAGUGCCGGAGAGAAAUAAUGAUUUCUUGGCGGGGACGAAGAAGAGACCAAAGGUGACAUUAUAA